GAUGAACGCUGGCGGCGUGCCUAAUACAUGCCAGUCGAGCGAACAGAUAAGGAGCUUGCUCCCUUGGCGUUAGCGGCGGACGGGUGAGUAACACGUGGGUAACCUACCUAUAAGACUGGGAUAACUUCGGGAAACCGGAGCUAAUACCGGAUAACAUUUGGAACCGCAUGGUUCUAAAGUGAAAGAUGGUUUUGCUAUCACUUAUAGAUGGACCCGCGCCGUAUUAGCUAGUUGGUAAGGUAACGGCUUACCAAGGCAACGAUACGUAGCCGACCUGAGAGGGUGAUCGGCCACACUGGAACUGAGACACGGUCCAGACUCCUACGGGAGGCAGCAGUAGGGAAUCUUCCGCAAUGGGCGAAAGCCUGACGGAGCAACGCCGCGUGAGUGAUGAAGGGUUUCGGCUCGUAAAACUCUGUUAUUAGGGAAGAACAAACGUGUAAGUAACUGUGCACGUCUUGACGGUACCUAAUCAGAAAGCCACGGCUAACUACGUG
rnacentral:rRNA from 1 species